AUUGAACGCUGGCGGCAUGCUUUACACAUGCAAGUCGAACGGUAACAGGCCGCAAGGUGCUGACGAGUGGCGCACGGGUGAGUAAUGCAUCGGAACGUGCCCAGUCGUGGGGGAUAACUACUCGAAAGAGUAGCUAAUACCGCAUACGAUCUAUGGAUGAAAGCGGGGGACCGUAAGGCCUCGCGCGAUUGGAGCGGCCGAUGUCAGAUUAGGUAGUUGGUGGGGUAAAGGCUCACCAAGCCAACGAUCUGUAGCUGGUCUGAGAGGACAACCAGCCACACUGGGACUGAGACACGGCCCAGACUCCUACGGGAGGCAGCAGUGGGGAAUUUUGGACAAUGGGCGCAAGCCUGAUCCAGCAAUGCCGUGUGCAGGAAGAAGGCCUUCGGGUUGUAAACUGCUUUUGUACGGAACGAAACGGCUCUGGUUAAUACCCGGGGCUAAUGACGGUACCGUAAGAAUAAGCACCGGCUAACUACGU
rnacentral:rRNA from 1 species